rnacentral:rRNA from 1 species
CUUACCGAUGGCGACCGGCGCACGGGUGAGUAACACGUAUCCAACCUGCCGAUAACUCGGGGAUAGCCUUUCGAAAAGAAAGAUUAAUAUCCGAUAGGAUAUCAAGGUCGCAUGAUCUUGAUAUUAAAGAACUUCGGUUAUCGAUGGGGAUGCGUUCCAUUAGUUAGUUGGCGGGGUAACGGCCCACCAAGACGACGAUGGAUAGGGGUUCUGAGAGGAAGGUCCCCCACAUUGGAACUGAGACACGGUCCAAACUCCUACGGGAGGCAGCAG